rnacentral:lncRNA from 1 species
CUUGCUAGCUUGAUGAGUGCAAUUUGUGCACCUAUUUAGACCACAUUAUUAAACUUUUAAGUCGUUGAAUUAUUAAUUUCUAUUUAACUUAUGUUAAUUUUCUUUGUGUUUUUAGUGACGAACCCGUUUGAAGCGAUUGGAAAGGAAGAAGGGCAAAAUCGAGUAAAAUCCAUGAUUUGGGAUUAAAUUCCACAAGUUUGAAUUUGAGGAGGGCAUUGGUUGCACAAAUAAAUUUGUAUCAAGGACUAACUUGCAUUCUUUGAAAGUUAGGACUUGGAGAAAAGUAAUUUAUUGAUGGGCCUCAAAUUAGGAGUUUUGAAUUGGAAUGAAACCCAAUUAAUUAUUUGCCCAUUAUAUACGCUACAGUCGGCUGAAAAGAAGAGGUGAGAGCAAUUGAAAUAUCACAAAAAUUAGAGUAAAAAACGGCAGCUGUGGGAGAGAAGAAAAAAGGCCUAUUUACUACAUAGAUACAAUUCACGUCAACAGGAAUUGGAGGGUUGUUGCUGCCGAAUUAUAUCCUAUAUAAAAACAUAAAUUGAAGCAGCUUUGGGAAGAGUUUAUUGGGCUGAAUUGGUAGGAGGAAAUAGAGAUUUAGGGGCCGCAAUAUUAUUUUCUUACACGUACAUUGGAGCAGCCAAAAAGGAGGAGAGUUGCUGGGAAUUAAUAUACAAAAAAGUGCUGUUGUGGUGGGAUUAAUAUAUAUAUAAAACCAGAAACUGAAGUAGCAGGGAGUGGUCAAGCAUUACAGCUGAAGGAAUAUACAUACAUAUAAGCAGAAAAGCUGACUAAAUAGAAGGAGAAAGAGAAGUAACGGAGGCGAGAAAUUGCAAGGAAAAAAAGGGCAGAUUCGUGUUAAAAAAUUUAAUCAUGUUCCGUCAAUUUUCGGUGAUGUUUUUCCACUUUUAUUUGUUUAAUUCCCA